AACACAUGCAAGCGAGGGGCGAGCAUAAAGUAGACAAUACUUGGUGGCGACCGGCGCACGGGUGAGUAACGCGUAUGCAACCUACCUAUCAGAGGGGAAUAACCCGGCGAAAGUCGGACUAAUACCGCAUAAAACAGGGGCACCGCAUGGUGAUAUUUGUUAAAGAAAUUCGCUGAUAGAUGGGCAUGCGUUCCAUUAGGUAGUUGGUGAGGUAACGGCUCACCAAGCCGACGAUGGAUAGGGGGACUGAGAGGUUGGUCCCCCACACUGGUACUGAGACACGGACCAGACUCCUACGGGAGGCAGCAGUGAGGAAUAUUGGUCAAUGGGCGGGAGCCUGAACCAGCCAAGUCCGCGUGAAGGAAGAAGGAUCUAUGGUUCGUAAACUUCUUUUGCAGGGGAAUAAAGUGCAGGACGUGUCCUGUUUUGUAUGUACCCUGAGAAUAAGGAUCGGCUAACUCCGUGCCAGCCGCCGC
rnacentral:rRNA from 1 species